AGAGUUUGAUCAUGGCUCAGGAUGAACGCUAGCUACAGGCUUAACACAUGCAAGUCGAGGGGAAACGACAUCGAAAGCUUGCUUUUGAUGGGCGUCGACCGGCGCACGGGUGAGUAACACGUAUCCAACCUGCCCACCACUUGGGGAUAACCUUGCGGAAGUAAGACUAAUACCCAAUGACGUCUCUAGAAGACAUCUGAAAGAGAUUAAAGAUUUAUCGGUGAUGGAUGGGGAUGCGUCUGAUUAGCUUGUUGGCGGGGUAACGGCCCACAAGGCGACGAUCAGUAGGGGUUCUGAGAGGAAGGUCCCCCANAUUGGAACUGAGACACGGUCCAAACUCCUACGGGAGCA
rnacentral:rRNA from 1 species